rnacentral:rRNA from 1 species
AUUGAGCGCUGGCGGCAUGCCUUACACAUGCAAGUCGAACGGUAACGGGCCUUCGGGUGCCGACGAGUGGCGAACGGGUGAGUAAUACAUCGGAACGUGCCCGAUCGUGGGGGAUAACGAGGCGAAAGCUUUGCUAAUACCGCAUACGAUCUACGGAUGAAAGCAGGGGACCGCAAGGCCUUGCGCGGACGGAGCGGCCGAUGGCAGAUUAGGUAGUUGGUGGGAUAAAAGCUUACCAAGCCGACGAUCUGUAGCUGGCCUGAGAGGAUGAUCAGCCACACUGGGACUGAGACACGGCCCAGACUCCUACGGGAGGCAGCAGUGGGGAAUUUUGGACAAUGGGCGCAAGCCUGAUCCAGCCAUGCCGCGUGCAGGAUGAAGGCCUUCGGGUUGUAAACUGCUUUUGUACGGAACGAAAAGCCUUCUUUUAAUACAGGAGGGUCAUGACGGUACCGUAAGAAUAAGCACCGGCUAACUACGUG